GUCUACGGCCAUGCUACCCUGAACAAGCCCCAUCUCAUCUGAUCUCGGAAGCUAAGCAGGGUUGGGCCUGGUUAGUAGUUGGAUGGGAGACCAUCUAGGAAGACCAGGUGCUGUAGGCG
rnacentral:rRNA from 1 species